rnacentral:rRNA from 1 species
GACAGAGGGUGCAAACGUUGUUCGGAAUUACUGGGCGUAAAGGGCUCGUAGGUGGCCAACUAAGUCAGACGUGAAAUCCCCAGGCUCAACUUGGGAACUGCGUCUGAUACUGGAUGGCUUGAAUUCGGGAGAGGGAUGCAGAAUUCCAGGUGUAGCGGUGAAAUGCGUAGAUAUCUGGAGGAAUACCGGUGGCGAAGGCGGCAUCCUGGACCGAGAUUGACACUGAUGAGCGAAAGCUAGGGGAGCAAACGGG